rnacentral:lncRNA from 1 species
AGGUCCCCUGUGGUCUCGCCCCAGCUCCGGUUCCGACAAAGGCCUUCCCUUUGCUUUCCAGAAAUUUGCUUUCCAGAAAUGUUUCUCCUUGGAGAUUCGCAAAUCAGGGAACAGGUUCCAAUCCAAGGCCACGGGAUUGGCCACAGAUGGAAUGAGGCACAUCGACUCCACACCUGACGUGUUUCUCCACGCACAGCAGGGACCUGGUGUUUGUGUCUCUGUAAGAAACAGCUGGAGAGCCACAGCACAAGUUGGCCCUUUUCGUAGUAACGAAGGCCCUUCUUUGUGGGUGUUCCCCGCGGGCCUUGGGAAACCGUUAUACCCAGAGCACCUCACCUGAGAGUUCCCUCUGCUGCUGGCUUUGUGUUCCUCCAAAGCACCUGGUCUGGGGCUCUGCCCAGAAUGGGCGGCCUCGUCUACACUGCUGAUCCUGCCCCUGGAAACAGGCUUCACCAAGGAGCCCUGUGCCGUCAGUCCACAGACUUCAUGGAGAUUGCGGGAUCCUUCCGCAGCUGAGAAUGAGAGGUCUUUUAGGCUCUCUGCCCAGCUCUGAUCUGCAUCCUGCCUCCUUGAUUCCUCAACUCCGUGCAGCUCAGGUCCCACUCUGGCUUCCUGGCAUCACGCUCACCCCUGCGGGGGGGAAGGAGAGAAUUUUCAAAACCGGAUAGUUACAUCACCUCACAUCACAUUGACCCAAUGAAGUUCUAAAAAAUGCCAUUUCUAAAACUACUCUCGACGUGCUCACAAUUUAUAUUGUUGGGGGAGAAUGGAUAAUAAGGGGACCCACAGUCUUUCCGGCCAGAACUGACGUUGUUUGAGAAGAGCAAGGAGGGCUGCCUGGCAACACAGUGCAUCCCUGUGCAUAAACUUUGUUUACAGCCAAGGAUGGAGUAAAGGAACAGAUGGUAAGAAAAUCGGAUUUAAGGAAGGGACAGAUGCGCCUGCGUCGGGGAGCUCGGUAAAUCUCUUGGCUUCUGGUUUGCAUGCAGGGACGACGUCUAGCUCCCCACGGCAGUCACGCCCUGGCUCGCUUGUUGCUUGAGACUAUUUGCAUCUUGUCUCUGAGGAUGGUUAAUACAGCCCGUUACAAGCGUUUAUCUCAUCCCUCUCACGGGGAAUGUGUUUUCCCAGGAUUUGUGUGUUCCCUUUCCUUUUAUGGACAGCGGCGGCUUCAUCAUCCAUGUGAUGGUGUAUCUACAAUUUCAAGGCUCUUUAAGCGGUUAACCCUGCUUGUCUAUAGAGGAUGAGAUUAUAUUCCUGCGAUCUUAGAAAUUUUUCCCUUGAGUACAGAGAACCAGGGCAAAUAAACAUAAACAUGUGUGUUUAACAUAUUAAUAAACACACCCUCCCC